rnacentral:rRNA from 1 species
CACGUAGGGGGCAAGCGUUGUCCGGAUUCAUUGGGCGUAAAGAGCUCGUAGGCGGUUCGAUAAGUCGGGUGUGAAACCUCCAGGCUCAACCUGGAGACGCCACCCGAUACUGUCGUGACUAGAGUCCAGUAGGGGAGCGUGGAAUUCCUGGUGUAGCGGUGAAAUGCGCAGAUAUCAGGAGGAACACCAGCGGCGAAGGCGGCGCUCUGGGCUGGCACUGACGCUGAGGAGCGAAAGCAUGGGGAGCGAACAGG